UGAACCGGGUGAACCAUGGCUGGGAGUGCAGGCUGGAAGGAAACAGGCUCUUCCCCCACACCAGCACAGUAUCUGUGGUUUUGGCCUCAGGUGGCCAAGAGCUCAUUAGUGGUCUAGGCUUGGAAGAAGUAGGUUCAGAAGUCUGGGGCUGACAGGGAGGCAGGGACAUGAUGGAGGAAAGGACAUGGUGAGAGGUAAGGAGUAUAACACAGACAUGACUUGGUCCUCCCUACUUCCAAUCUAGUCAUCUGGAGGACUCACCUAACCUCUCCGUGCCUCACUUUUCCUCACCCGGAAGAUGGGAACAACAGCAAGGCCUCACAGAGUUGGGAACACUUCAAGUAAUGGACCCAGGGGAAGAAUUCCUAUCUGCUCACCGGUCAUCUUAGUAACAAGCUAGGUUUAGAGAAGACUCAGACCUCAUUUGGAUCUUGGGCCAGUGAUGGUACCUCUCUGAGCCUGGGCUUCCUCAUCCUCUCAUUGCAGCUCAGUGCUGGAGAUAGUGAAAAAGGCUGGCAGUCUCCCAGAAUGCUUCACUAACAGGGGCAGUAACAGACAUGAAAUGUGAAAAGUGACAGGCUAGGGCUGUGGCUAGUACAAUACUUGCCUAGCAUGCAGGAAGCCCGGGUUUCAUCCCCAGCACUACUGAAGAGGACGCAGCAGCAGCACACACCUGGAAUCCCAUUUGGGAGGUGGAGGCAGGAGAUUCAGGAGUCAUCCUCAGCUACAUAAGUUUGAAGCCAGCCUGGGCUACAUGAGACCCUGCUUCAAAAAAGAAAAAGUGGGAAGCAGGGUGGCUUGAUUGUUGAGCUGUGGGCAAGGGGCCCCCGAUCUUUGCUGCGAGCACCUAUCUCAGGCCUGCUUCCCUGUCUUGACAACUUGGUGGCCAACUUCCCGGUUGCAGAGGUUCUGUUGCUUUGGAAGAAGAGGGAGUGGAUACUGAGGGGCAGCCAGCACUCCCCCCUGCCACAGUGGACGUUUGGAAGAGAUGAGGCAAGAAACAGGAGUAAGGCUCCUUUCUUGGUCCCAGCUUGCACACAUUGGGUGAAAGUGCUGCUCUCUGAGGCAGGAGAAGAGAGCUAUCUCUUUCUAACUUCACUAGCUACUGAUAUGGUCUUUGUAUGUGGUAGAGAGAGUAGGGACCAGGGCCUUAAGAACGAAGGCCAAGAUAUAAACCAGUUUUAGCCCAUCAGGAAGACAUGGUGACCCCAAACUCACCUUGGAGACAUGGGUGUGAGUGGAUCUGGUACUGUGCACCCUGUAACAGGUAUGGUUCACAUCUCUAGGAAGAAAGCAAGAGCCUCUUGUCUCCCUUUGCUAAGCCUUGGCUGGCAUGACAGUGCCUGGGAAGGCAGCCUGUGUCUGGCUGGGACCUGGAAGAUGUUGGCUUGGGCUUAGAUUCCAGCUGUGCUGUAUGACACUGGACAAGCUGCUUAAUAUCUCUGAGCCUCAGGCUUCCUGUGUGACAUGGCUUUAUGAUGAGGAUGUAACUGUAGGAUGCCCCAUGUGGGAGCCUGGCCAAGGCCUCCCAUUCAGUGAGUACACAAGAAGAAACUGGCUUCCUGUAGAGCAGCAGUUCUCAACCGCUUUGGGAGACCCCUUUGGGAGUCAAAUGACCCUUUCAUAGGAGUCACCUAAGACCAUUUGAUUUAUGACAGAAGCAAAAUUGCAAUUAUGAAGUCGCAACAAAAAUAAUUUUAUGUUUGGGGGGGUCACCACAAUGUGAGGAAGCUUAUUAAGGAAGCUUAUUGCAGUGUUAGGAAGGUGGAGAACCAGUGCUAACGAAAGUCUGCCCUGUUGUCCCAUAAUGGUGUGAAGACAGUCAUGCCAGCCACCCCACCCCCACCCCCCAGUGCAAGGCUGGCUGGAGAGGAGUUGGUUACACCAAUGGUCCCAAGCCAUCGGCUCUACGUGGUGACAAAGGAGUUGCUCCAAAUGAAGAUGUCCUUCAGACAGACAGACCUCUGUCCCAGCAAGCUAGGUCUGGAGUUCCCACAAAACCCAGUACCACAGAGAUCCAUGGAGGAAGCCAGACUGCUGGGGCUCAAAUCCUUAUUAUGUUCUUUUUCUAUCCUUCUGCUUGUUGGAGGUCGCGAGAUGCACGUCACUCGGGGUUGUUAGGAGGAUGAAAUGAGCUCAGAGGAUUGGAUAUGUGAAAAACAUGUUGAUACAGUAGCUGAAGGUGUGGGGGACUCCUGACACUCUGGCAUUUGAGACAAAAACAAACAAAAUAAAAACCCAAUCCUUGAGCACUACUCAUGAGCCUAGCCUCACACCUUCCAUCACGGGCCUGUCUAGCUGGCUACAGAGAGCAGUCCCCUCAGACAGACAGACAGAUACAUCUAUACUCUUUGCCAUGAGUUCAGUGCCAGCCUGGGCUACAUAGUGAGCUUCAGAGCAGCCCAGGCUACAUGAGAUCCUGUCUAAAAGCCAAAGGCAGAGUCUGGGUGAUAGUCUGGUGGGUAAAGCCUGCCUUGCAACCAUAAGCUUGCUUGCUUAUUCUGUGUAUGGUUUUUGAAGACUAAUAAGAUUUUCUUACUAAUUAAAGGA